AACGGCCGUACCAUGCUGAAUAUACCGGUUCUCGUUAGAUCACCGAAGUUAAGCAUCAUUGUGCGCGGUCAGUACUUGGGUGGGUGACCACCUGGGAACACUGCGUGCCGUU
rnacentral:rRNA from 1 species